AUUGAACGCUGGCGGCAGGCCUAACACAUGCAAGUCGAACGGCAGCACAGGAGAGCUUGCUCUUUGGGUGGCGAGUGGCGGACGGGUGAGUAAUGUCUGGGAAACUGCCCGAUGGAGGGGGAUAACUACUGGAAACGGUAGCUAAUACCGCAUAACGUCGCAAGACCAAAGUGGGGGACCUUCGGGCCUCACACCAUCGGAUGUGCCCAGAUGGGAUUAGCUAGUAGGUGGGGUAAUGGCUCACCUAGGCGACGAUCCCUAGCUGGUCUGAGAGGAUGACCAGCCACACUGGAACUGAGACACGGUCCAGACUCCUACGGGAGGCAGCAGUGGGGAAUAUUGCACAAUGGGCGCAAGCCUGAUGCAGCCAUGCCGCGUGUAUGAAGAAGGCCUUCGGGUUGUAAAGUACUUUCAGCGGGGAGGAAGGCGGUGAGGUUAAUAACCUUGCCGAUUGACGUUACCCGCAGAAGAAGCACCGGCUAACUCCGUGCCAGCAGCCGCCGUAA
rnacentral:rRNA from 1 species